GUACCCGAGGCCGGGCCGGAGCCGCAGGCCAGCCGCGAUUCCUUCGGGCGAUGCUGGGGGCUUUCCGGUCGGGGCCGCAGCCGCUUCCGGAGCCGCGGGCGAGGUGCAAGCGGUCUUCUCUGUCUUCUUUAUGGCCAGUAAAAUUCUCCAGAAGAGAUUUAUGGCAGCCUCACUCCCAGUAGUUUCUGCAUUUAGUGAGAUAAGAUGGAAUCUUGCUCUCUUGCUCAGACUGGAGUGCAGUGGCAUGACCUUGGCUCACUGCAACCUCACCUCUCGGGUUCAAGCGAUUCUGCCUCAGCCUCUCGAGUAGCUGGGACUACAGGUGGGAGACCUCCACAGAACCCUUCCAGCAAGCUGUCUUCUAAAGCAAACAAGAAAAGGAAAGUCUGAGCAGUUUUGAUUAGAUUUCCCAGAAGUCAAAGCAAGGAAAAAUGAAAAAGCUUCAUUUCUCACGUUCUUAAAAGAGAGCACAGAUGUUGCAUCAUCUGGUUAGAUACCCUGAGAAUAAAAUCUGGAUCCAGUGAGAGGAAAGAUUCUG
rnacentral:lncRNA from 1 species